GAUGAACGCUGGCGGCGUGCCUAAUACAUGCAAGUCGAGCGAACAGAUAAGGAGCUUGCUCCUUUGACGUUAGCGGCGGACGGGUGAGUAACACGUGGGUAACCUACCUAUCAGACUGGGAUAACUUCGGGAAACCGGAGCUAAUACCGGAUAACAUUUGGAACAGCAUGGUUCUAAAGGGAAAGAUGUUUUUGCUAUCACUUAUAGAUGGACCCGCGCCGUAUUAGCUAGGUGGUAAGGUAACGGCUUACCAAGGCGACGAUACGUAGCCGACCUGAGAGGGUGAUCGGCCACACUGGAACGGAGACACGGUCCAGACUCCUACGGGAGGCAGCAGUAGGGAAUCUUCCGCAAUGGGCGAAAGCCUGACGGAGCAACGCCGCGUGAGUGAUGAAGGGUUUCGGCUCGUAAAACUCUGUUAUUAGGGAAGAACAAAUGUGUAAGUAACUGUGCACGUCUUGACGGUACCUAAUCAGAAAGCCACGGCUAACUACAUGCCAGCCGCCGCAGUAA
rnacentral:rRNA from 1 species